rnacentral:tRNA from 1 species
UAAGGCCUUAUGUUAAAGAAACAAAUAACCUUCAAAGUUAUAAAUAAAAGUAAAAUCCUUUAGGCCUUAG